rnacentral:lncRNA from 1 species
CUAUAUUUUAUAUCCAUAUCCAAAUCCAUAUCCAUAUCCAUCGAAUAUAUCCGUUUCAUUCGGGUUCGGGUUCAGAUAAAAUUUCGGAUAUCCAUACUCAUUGACAUCCCUAGUAUUCGUGAAUCAAUAGCACAAAUUUUAAUCUCUAUAUAAAUUUUAAUCGACUACAGAGAUGACGUAUAGAGAUCAAUUAUAUAUAGACGCUAUUAUAUAUAUAGAGAGAAUCUUACUACUAUAGUAUCGAUAGUAACAAGCGCUUAAUGUUAUCGAGUUUUUUUGCUAUUAGAUUAAUCAUUUUGAUCAUUUUCAGUUGUUAGAUUAUGCUAUUUAACAAACCAUCCUUUAGAUCAUACUAUUGUAGUUUUAGAUUUUAUUGAUUAACAAUUAUUUCGUAUGGUAUUAAAGUAGAAGGUUUUUAAAUUUGAAU